ACGUCGCAAAACGAUUUUCUAUUAUCCAUCACUUGUGUGAGGAAUUAGGGAAUUGGCGCCCCUGUUGCUCAGAAGGUAGGCCUACUGCACUGCACUGUGCAGAGGAAGGGGCGAAGGGAGGGGUUUGCGGGGGACAGUUCACCUCUGGGUCUCCUUAAUGAAACGGGAAAGGGGGGAUGAAUGGGGAUCCACUGUAUAGUAGCCUACAACAGUCUAUUAGUGGGCUAAAAUCAGUCACACCUUGACUUUCUUCCAAACAACGCACAUCUCAUAAUGUUAUGAAUGCAGACCUAUGAUUCCUGCACAUUUAAUUAACUGUGUGAAAUGGCUAAUAAAAAUAGGUGACAAAACGAUUAAGAGGUCACCCAGGUGAAUUGGUUUGGUCUUGACUGUGGUCGCGAGUGGAUCAUGGGAAUUUGUGGAUUGUUGUCGACUGUCGAGUGCCAAACACGAUGGACAGAAAGCGGUCAAAGCCAUCAGGUGCCCAGUUCCGAAAAAAAAAGAAAAGUAGAAGAGGAGAAACGAGCAAAGGAUAAAGGGGCACUUCUAAAAUACUUUGGAGCAUCCUCUGCCACUGCUCAAGAUGAGCCACCCACAGCCCCUGUUUCACAGGAUGAGGAGGAGCCAUCAACCUCAUCAGCUGCACAGGCCUCUUCUGAGGUGGUCCCUGUCCUUGAGGAUGAGCACCAAUCCAUGUCUCCACAAACAUCUCCCUCUACGUCUGCUUCUCCUCAGCAUGAGCCUUCAGAAUUGCGCUCGGGGGGAUCUCGCCCGGGGAGUAAUUGAGUCUAGAACCGCCACUGUAAG